rnacentral:rRNA from 1 species
GACGAACGCUGGCGGCGUGCUUAACACAUGCAAGUCGAGCGAUGAAGUUCCUUCGGGAAUGGAUUAGCGGCGGACGGGUGAGUAACACGUGGGUAACCUGCCUCAUAGAGGGGAAUAGCCUUCCGAAAGGAAGAUUAAUACCGCAUAAGAUUGUGGCUUCGCAUGAAGUAGCAAUUAAAGGAGUAAUCCGCUAUGAGAUGGACCCGCGUCGCAUUAGCUAGUUGGUGAGGUAACGGCUCACCAAGGCGACGAUGCGUAGCCGACCUGAGAGGGGGGUCGGGCAAGUUGGGAAGGGGGCACGGGCCAGGCUCCUACGGGGGGCAGGAGUGGGGAAUAUUGCACAAUGGGGGAAACCCUGAUGCAGCAACGCCGCGUGAGUGAUGACGGCCUUCGGAUUGUAAAACUCUGUCUUCAGGGACGAUAAUGACGGUACCUGAGGAGGAAGCCACGGCUAACUACGUGCCAGCCGCCGCAGUAA